rnacentral:rRNA from 1 species
UACAGAGGUCUCAAGCGUUGUUCGGAUUCAUUGGGCGUAAAGGGUGCGUAGGUGGCAUGGUAAGUCGGAUGUGAAAUCCCGGGGCUCAACCCCGGAACUGGCAUUCGAUACUGCUGCGCUAGAGUACUGGAGAGGAGAUUGGAAUUUACGGUGUAGCAGUGAAAUGCGUAGAUAUCGUAAGGAAGACCAGUGGCGAAGGCGGAUCUCUGGACAGUUACUGACACUGAGGCACGAAGGCCAGGGGAGCAAAGCGGG